rnacentral:tRNA from 1 species
GGAAAUGUGACUUAGCAGUAGAGUGCUUGCCUAGCAUACAUGAAGCCCUGGGUUCAAUUCCUCAUUACCA